AAGCCAUCAGGUUUUGAGCAGCAGCAGCAUCAAUCCUUUCGCAUCCUUAACACAGGACUGACAAAUCAAUGUCACUCUGAGGUGAAAGCAGGCAGCAGUCACCGUCCUCAGCGAGCAGUGACAGCUCCUGUCGGUCAGCUGGCGCUGCUGCGUCGAUUGCUACAUGCUAGAGUUAAUGCCAACUACAUCCACAACAAGCAGAGGACAACAUUGGACAUCUGAAAAAGGACAAGGAAGCAGUAGCAGCAGAGUCAAUGUUACAAUCCAACAUCCUGAAGACACAUCCUCAGCUUCAACAAUGCCUGUGAAUCUAUCAAAGCUGCCGCCAUUGAUUCUGCUGACUGGUCACACCAUCAGACCCAUACAUUGGGUCGCAUCUUACUGCGGGGUUCGUUCUCCCGAGAUGCAGACGGACCACUCCGGACAAGGCGUGCAGGAGCCACCAGGGCAGCACUGAAGAGCCGCCGGUUACUGACCCCCCGUUCUAAGGUUUAUUUAGGACUUCGCAAAGAGGCAACAUCCACCGCCCCAGUCUGGUGGUGUCCCAUAGAGCAGGAGGU